GCCGGCGUGGCGCAAUUGGUUAGCGCGUCAGACUUUUAUAUCAAAGGUAUCUGAAUGUUGCGAGUUCGAGUCUCGCCGUUGGCG